rnacentral:rRNA from 1 species
UACGAAGGGAGCUAGCGUUGUUCGGAAUUACUGGGCGUAAAGGGCAUGUAGGCGGCGAUGUAAGAUAGGGGUGAAAUCCCGGGGCUCAACUCCGGAACUGCCUUUAUGACUGCAUUGCUAGAGUCCGAGAGAGGGUGGCGGAAUAUCCAGUGUAGAGGUGAAAUUCGUAGAUAUUGGAUAGAACACCGGUGGCGAAGGCGGCCACCUGGCUCGGUACUGACGCUGAGGUGCGAAAGCGUGGGGAGCGAACAGG